AAAGCCGUCGCCGUAGCAACGCGCGGAGCCGUCUGGGAGAGGCCUCUGGAGCAGGAGGCCCAGUGGCUCUUCUGACCCAAGGCUCCGCCGUCCAGGUAGGGGGCUGUGGCCUCUAGGGAUCAGGGACUACUUACCUGCGAAUCCCGGUUGCCCGCCCGCCAGCACGUCCGUUCCCUAAGCAGACCGCCUGGCCUCCUGCCUGACCCGUCUUCUCACCGUUGCCCGGAGUCUGACCUCCCCACACUCAGUCCACUAACGAAGCUAUCCCUGCUCCUGCCCCACAGCUUCUAAGUGCCAGAUGAUGGAGGAGCGUGCCAACCUGAUGCACAUGAUGAAACUCAGCAUCAAGGUGUUGCUCCAGUCGGCUCUGAGCCUGGGCCGCAGCCUGGAUGCGGACCAUGCCCCCUUGCAGCAGUUCUUUGUAGUGAUGGAGCACUGCCUCAAACAUGGGCUGAAAGGACAGCUGUGGGAAGAGGCCGAGCGUGGCUUUAUCUUGCACUCAUGCAAAAGAAACUGGCAGAUUAUCUGAAAGUGCUUAUAGACAAUAAACAUCUCUUAAG
rnacentral:sRNA from 1 species